GCCGGGCGUGGUGGCGCAUGCCUGUAAUACCAGCAGCUUGGGAGGCUAAGACAGGAGAAUCGCGAGUUCAAAGCCGAGUUCAAAGCCAGGCUCAGCAACCGCGAGGCGCUAAGUAACUCAGUGAGACCCUGUCUCUA
rnacentral:sRNA from 1 species